rnacentral:rRNA from 1 species
UACGUAGGGGGCAAGCGUUGCCCGGAAUUAUUGGGCGUAAAGAGCGUGUAGGCGGUCCGGUAAGUCCGCUGUGAAAGUCCAGGGCUCAACCCUGGAAUGCCGGUGGAUACUGCCGGGCUAGAGUCCGGAAGAGGCGAGUGGAAUUCCUGGUGUAGCGGUGAAAUGCGCAGAUAUCAGGAGGAACACCGAUGGCGAAGGCAGCUCGCUGGGACGGUACUGACGCUGAGACGCGAAAGCGUGGGGAGCAAACAGG